rnacentral:rRNA from 1 species
CUCCUACGGGAGGCAGCAGUCGGGAAUUUUGGGCAAUGGGCGAAAGCCUGACCCAGCAACGCCGCGUGAAGGAUGAAAUCCUUCGGGAUGUAAACUUCGCAAGAAUAGGAAGAAUUAGUAGGGGUUAAUACCCUCUAUGAUGACGGUACUAUUUGUAAGCUCCGGCUAACUCCGUGCCAGCAGCCGCGGUAAUACGGGGGGAGCAAGCGUUGUUCGGAUUUACUGGGCGUAAAGGGCGCGUAGGCGGCCAGCGCAAGUCAGUUGUGAAAUCUCCGGGCUUAACUCGGAACGGUCAACUGAUACUGCGCGGCUAGAGUGCAGAAGGGGCAACUGGAAUUCUCGGUGUAGCGGUGAAAUGCGUAGAUAUCGAGAGGAACACCUGCGGCGAAGGCGGGUUGCUGGGCUGACACUGACGCUGAGGCGCGAAAGCCAGGGGAGCGAACGGGAUUAGAUACCCCGGUAGUCCUGGCCUUAAACGAUGGAUGCUUGGUGUCUGGAGUUUUAUAGUCUCCGGGUGCCGUAGCUAACGCGUUAAGCAUCCCGCCUGGGGAGUACGGUCGCAAGACUGAAACUCAAAGGAAUUGACGGGGACCCGCACAAGCGGUGGAGCAUGUGGUUCAAUUCGACGCAACGCGAAGAACCUUACCUGGGCUAGAAUGCCUCUGACAACCCUAGAGAUAGGGCUUCCUAGG